CCUAAAGUCACACUAAAUCCAACCCAAAUAAAGCUAAAAACUGCUGAAAUGCCAUCUUCUUUCACCGUGAAUCAUCCUCAUAAUCAAUUGCUUAAACUACCAGAGAUCUGCCAUGUAAAUACCUAAAUUCUAGCUCCAAAACCCCCCAAAAUCAUAGCUGAAAGAUCUGUCCAAACUUCAGCCAUGAAACAAUCUUAAAAUAGUCACAGAAAUCAUGUAAAAACUUGUUCUCUCUACUAAAAUGAAGAAGAGUUUCGAGAGAGGCGUUCGAGCUUGCCGUUCAAGUUAACGACGAAAUUUCUGUUCCAAGUUUUUUU
rnacentral:lncRNA from 1 species